UCCACCGCACCCGUCUCGUCCACAAGUGAAACCAGCUCUGCGUGACAUUUUUCGUGUUAUAUUGUAGAAUUUCAUAUUGCAAUAUUAUGGACUAUGGAGAAGGCUUUCAAUUCGUCAAUCCGGUACACCCUAUGGGCAGGGCAGCCAAGAUUAAGCGUUGGAGUACACAAUAUGAAUUGAGGAACUGGGACAGAAAUUUUAAGAACAUUAUGUAGAGCUGGAACAUUGAAAAAGAUCACGAAAUCGACAUAUUCCCAAAUUCGUAUCUAAGUAAAAAAAAAAAAAAAUCAAGUCAAAAUCAUUACGGACAAAUUGAGAUAGGAGCGAAAAAAUUACCGGCCGCAACACGGAUGAUACCAUAUAUAAUUCAAAAUAACUUAGCUAAUGUGGCUUAAACUCAAUACGUUUGACUUCAGACUUUGGAGUUAUGCUGCAAAAACGGCAGACUUGUAUAAUAGUAGCAGUCAAUUUGGAGAUCGUCCUCCACGUUACGAUCGGACUAUGUAGCCGAGUACACCGACCGUGAACAACAGCCUUCGUGUUUCCAUAAGUCUGCGUGACGGCGUUCCCAGGUGCAGGU